GACGGUCCUCGGUGGUGGGUUUCGGCUAAAGGUAGCCGCGACUCUCGAUCGAAGACCGGG
rfam:Actinobacterium acAMD-5 AMD-COM-C6, whole genome shotgun sequence.